rnacentral:tRNA from 1 species
GUGGCUCAGUGGUUAAGAGCACUGGCUGCUCUGCCAGAAGUCCUGAGUUCAAUUCCCAGC